AAAUUGUGCGUAUUUUUUUUUUAAAAGCGCGUCAAAGCGAGACACAAUCAGCUGAUACGUUUUCAGACACGCUUGUAUUUAGAACGUAUACAUAAUCAGCGUUUCAUUAAAAGGAUAAUUUGUUGAAUAAGUCGUGAUGGCAUCGAGCAGAAGCACGAGAGAAGUUCUAUUGUCAUUAGUGGAUGAUAUUGAGCUGAUAGCAAAAGAAAUUAUAGAAACACAAUUGCUCAAAAACCUUCAAAGCUCUCUAGUACAGAGCACGCUCAG